rnacentral:rRNA from 1 species
AUUGAACGCUGGCGGCAGGCCUAACACAUGCAAGUCGAACGAGUGGCGGACGGGUGAGUCAUGUCUGGGAAACUGCCCGAUGGAGGGGGAUAACUACUGGAAACGGUAGCUCAUACCGCAUACCAUCCGAUGUUCCCAUCUGGGAUUAGCUUGUUGGUGGGGUAACGGCUCACCUAGGCGACGAUCCCUAGCUGGUCUGAGAGGAUGACCAGCCACACUGGAACUGAGACACGGUCCAGACUCCUACGGGAGGCAGCAGUGGGGAAUAUUGCACAAGGGGCGCAAGCCUGAUGCAGCCAUGCCGCGUGUAUGAAGAAGGCCUUCGGGUUGUAAAGUACUUUCAGCGGGGAGGCGGUACGCGAAGAAGAAGCAACGGCUAACUCCGUGCCAGCAGCCGCGGUAAUUG